AUGCAAGACCUUCAGCUCUGGAGGCGGGGAUGUGGCGUCGGGAUUGGCGACUCCAGCCGUCAUCUCGAACAACUCCGUCCAUUCCAGCGCCCGCAGUGGCCCGGCGGAUUCGUGCAUGCCAUUCAGUUCUGGAGGCAUGGUCCUGCCGUCGGUACUGGGCAGCAACGGGACGCCGGCCUUCGUCUCAAGCUGCGCCGUGCAGUUCGCACAUCACAGCGCCCCGGCUUCGGCGAACACCACCAUCCACGUAGGCUAGAAGCGCAGCCAAGAGGUCCUCUUGCGCCAGACGAGAGGGCUGUAGUAGCUGAUCGUGUGUCGCCACUGGAAGCUGCUAUUCGAGGGUUCGCUGAUAGGGGUACUGAGGUAGUCGUGAACCCUGUGCUUGGCACUAUUUUUGAUUCGUUGGUAGAGGCGUAUGAAUUCUACAAUCUACAUUCAUGGGAGGUUGGCUUUGGGAUUCGCUACAGCAAGAGCAGGCAUAAUGUCAAUGGGAUGAAGUGUAUGCAGGAGAUUGUGUGUGGCUGCGCUGGCAAACCAGAAAGGGAGAACAACUCGUCAAUGAGGAGCAAUUGCGCUACCAUGCUUCAGUUGCACCGGAUAGAUGAUGGUGGCCGGUAUGUAUCUGAAAAUCGCGCCUCCCACAACCAUGAAAUGCUACGGACUCAUGCUGAGAAGCUGCAUUGGCCCUCACACCGGCACAUUGACACAUACACAAGAGAUCUCGUGAAACAGUUGCGCCAGAACAAUGUAAAUUUGGGGAAGGUAUACACCAUCAUUGGGAGCCUGUUUGGGCGUAUGGAGAACGUCCCGUUCACAAAGAGGUGCCUUAGGACUUUCUGUGGGAAGCUUAGCAAGGAGCAGGCGGAUGAUGAUGUGCGGAAGACUAUGGAUGCAUUCUCUGAGCUGGGGUCAAAUGAUCCAGAGUUUUCAUGUGUUGUUGAGGUUGAUAAGGAAAGCAAGAUAAAAACCCUGUUGUGGACCAAUGGUAGAAGUAAGAUGCAGUACCACAAUUUCGGGGAUGUCAUAACGUUCGACACUACGUACAAGACAAAUCUGUACGACAUGCCUUUCGGGCUAUUUGUGGGGGUCAACAAUCACUUCCAGAGUAUCUUCAUGGGCGUGGUCAUGAUGAGAGAGGAAACGAUCGAGAGUUUCAAACGGGUAUUCACCGAAUUCAUCAGGCUGAUGGGUGGCAAACCUCCAAAAACGAUACUAACAGAUCAAGCGCGUGCGAUGGAGGUGGCUAUACAACAAACGAUGCCGGAUGCUACACAUCGCUGGUGCAAGUGGCAUGUGCUACGGAAGGCGAAGGAGCACCUGGGGCCGCAUUACACAAAAAGCAGUGAUUUCAGGGCUGCGCUGUACAAGGUGGUCAAUGAGAUGCUCACUGUGGACGAGUUUGAAGCAGCUUGGGCUGAGCUGCUUGACAAAUACAAGCUUCACAACAACACGUUCCUGAUCCAGAUUUUCGAGGUUCGGCACAAGUGGGCGAAGCCUUAUUUUAGUGGGAAGUUCUGUGCGAAGCAAAUUAGUACGCAAAGAAGCGAGAGUGCAAACCAUUUGUGGAAGGGCUACAUCCCGCCUGCAUGCCCCAUGAACCUUUUUGUGAAGUAA
rnacentral:rRNA from 1 species